rnacentral:rRNA from 1 species
AUUGAACGCUGGCGGUAUGCCUAACACAUGCAAGUCGAACGGCAGCACGGUAAGAGCUUGCUCUUACGGUUGGCGAGUGGCGGACGAUUGAGCGAUACAUCGGCAUCUACUUGUUCGAGGGGGACAAAGGAGGGAAACUUACGCUAAUAGCGCAUACGACCUACGGGGGGAACCAGAAGACCUUCGGCCCUUGCGCGAUUGAAUGAGCCGAUGUCGGAUUAGCUAGUUGGCGGGGUAAAGGCCCACCAAGGCGACGAUCCGUAGCUGGUCUGAGAGGAUGACCAGCCACACUGGAACUGAGACACGGUCCAGACUCCUACGGGAGGCAGCAGUGGGGAAUUUUGGACAAUGGGCGCAAGCCUGAUCCAGCCAUGCCGCGUGCGUGAAGAAGGCCUUCGGGUUGUAAAGCCCUUUUGUUGGGAAAGAAAAGCAGCAGGUUAAUACCCCGCUGUGAUGACGGUACCCAAAGAAUAAGCACCGGCUAACUUCGUG